rnacentral:rRNA from 1 species
GUGCACGGUCACAGCGAAGGUGUUUACCUGGUCCCAUUCCGAACCCAGCAGUCAAGCCCUUCUGCGUCUCUCCCAUUACUGUGGUACGAAAGUCCACGGGAAAGGAAGUCACUGUGCCCC